rfam:Lupinus angustifolius cultivar Tanjil chromosome LG17, whole genome shotgun sequence.
AGACGAUGAUGAUUUAUAGUUAAAGGUCUCGUUCGUCGUAAUUGGCCUUUUUUGGCCUUGCCGACCAUUCUGCUAUAUCACCACCCAUAUUCCGAGUCU